UACCAAGGAUCAAACCCACACCCUCUGCAUUGGAAGUAGGGAGUCUGAACCACCAGAGUAUUCCAAGUUGUAUCUUACUCUAUACCUACUUGUUUAUCCCUUUUGAUCUCCUUCCUCUAUCAUGUCUUCCUCCUGUCCUCUUGACUGUUUUUAGAAUUAAAGGAUCUAAAGCUUUAAAACAUAAAUGUUUAUGGAAAGGCAAUGAGGAAUGCCUCUAAUUUCCUUUCCCACUUUACCUUCAGUUAGCCUCUGGGAUCAGCUUGAAGUAUCGAGCAGAGCCUUGGAAUGAAACAACACAGAUCAGCAAAGGACAGGUGAGGGAGAAGAAAUCCCUGAGGUCUGCAGAGUGGGACUCUGAGAAGGAGGUAAGGUGGAAGCUUGGGCACCAGGCAGGGAGCCAGCCUAGGUCCACAGGGAGAACUCAAAGACAAAAAGACAAACAGCCCACAGAGAUUAACCCUGGUCUUCAAGGCAACCACAGACUUUUCCCAGAAAAUUGAGAAACUGACCCUACUCUCUGGACACAGGACAAGGAAAUGGGUGGGGGGAAGGACACUCUUCUCAAAGCAAAUAAAUAGAAGUGAUUUAGAAAGCACCUACACGGUUGCCAUUUGGCACCGUGCAAGAAUGCCCUUCCCUUAUUUUUUACGUGUGUGUGUGUGUGUGUGUGUAUGCGUGCACACAUUGGUUUACCUCCUUUGACCUAUAUUUCUGACCAUUUUGCUUUAGUACAAAGCUGUGACAGAGCCCUCACACUUUGGGAACCCUAUGCUAGCUUCUACGAAUAUUUUUAAUAGUUUCAUCAUUGAAAUCACAGUUAUUAUAUUUGAAGUCAAAGUAGCAUCGCUCAGCCACAUGCUAAGAACUAUAGCUGCGGGCAGGUCUUUGUUUUCCAAUAAAAUUCUUCCAUGAUGUUGCAUUAAGGGGCUGCUGAGAUGACUUUCAGCUCCUCUCCAGCACUGACAUUCUUCUCCCCAUGUCUGUGCAGAGUGGAUGGACUGGCCUUGAAUGCACUCCAGGGACACCAGGCCCCAGAAUAUGCUGGCAGCAUCUGGCUCUGCCUCGGCCCCCGUGAGAAGCAGCACUCUGCCAGGUGUCAUAGCUGAUUUAACCGGAAGAAAGAUGAAAACCAGCCAUGGGAACUGAAGCUUGCCAGCAUCCCUGAGGGUCUGAUGAGCGAGAAGCACAGCAGCGUGGAGGACACCGGAGGAAUCUCCUCUGGCCAAGGAUUCCCAGGCAGUAGUGAUCCUAACCACCCGGAUCCGUCCCCAAAACGCAAAGCCACAGUGCAUGCUGAGACAGUGUGAUGGCCAGAUCUUCCAGAUCUCUCCUGCCCUUUGUAAAGCCUCUAAGCGACAGUCCACACCUUCAGCCUCCGUGUCCACAGGGGAACGAUGAAACAUUGAGAAAGAAUUUAAUGCAAAAAGCAACUGCAGGAGACUUUGGGAACAGAUGCCAAAACGUCCAUUUCCUAGCCUCCGAGACUCCUGGAGUGCUUUACUUCACUGCCUCCUGGAUGUGUAUGCUGAGACACUCUGGAAUACUUUGGGAAUAGUUUGCAUAAACAUUAUGCAAGAAAAGAAAUUAAAAAUUAAUAGAGAAAUGUGGCCACUCAGUGAAGCCUCUGCAACAAACGAGGAUGAGAGGACUUCCCUGGUGGUCCAGUGACUGGGACUCCCCACUCCCAAUUCGGGGUGUCUGCAAUCCCUGCUCAGGGCGCUGGAUCCCACAUGCCACAGCUAAGAGUUCAUAUGAGGCAACCAAGACCCAGUGCAGC